CAGUCGCCGCGGGAAUACGUAGGUGGCAAGCGUUGUCCGGAAUUAUUGGGCGUAAAGGGCUCGCAGGCGGUUUCUUAAGUCUGAUGUGAAAGCCCCCGGCUCAACCGGGGAGGGUCAUUGGAAACUGGGAAACUUGAGUGCAGAAGAGGAGAGUGGAAUUCCACGUGUAGCGGUGAGAUGCGUAGAGAUGUGGAGGAACACCAGUGGCGAAGGCGACUCUCUGGUCUGUAACUGACGCUGAGGAGCGAAAGCGUGGGGAGCGAACAGAAUUAGAUACCCCCGUAGUCCCUGUCUCUUAUAC
rnacentral:rRNA from 1 species